rnacentral:rRNA from 1 species
AACGAACGCUGGCGGCGUGCCUAAUACAUGCAAGUCGAGCGAAUGGAUUAAGAGCUUGCUCUUAUGAAGUUAGCGGCGGACGGGUGAGUAACACGUGGGUAACCUGCCCAUAAGACUGGGAUAACUCCGGGAAACCGGGGCUAAUACCGGAUAACAUUUUGAACCGCAUGGUUCGAAAUUGAAAGGCGGCUUCGGCUGUCACUUAUGGAUGGACCCGCGUCGCAUUAGCUAGUUGGUGAGGUAACGGCUCACCAAGGCAACGAUGCGUAGCCGACCUGGGAGGGGGAGCGGCCACACUGGGACCGAGACACGGCCCAGACUCCUACGGGAGGCAGCAGUAGGGAAUCUUCCGCAAUGGACGAAAGUCUGACGGAGCCACGCCGCGUGAGUGAUGAAGGCGUUCGGGUCGUAAAACUCUGUUGUUAGGGAAGAACAAGUGCUAGUUGAAUAAGCUGGCACCUUGACGGUACCUAACCAGAAAGCCACGGCUAACUACGUGCCAGCCGCCGCAGUAA